rnacentral:rRNA from 1 species
AGAGUUUGAUCAUGGCUCAGGAUGAACGCUAGCGGCAGGCCUAAUACAUGCAAGUCGAACGGAGUAGCAAUACUUAGUGGCAAACGGGUGCGUAACGCGUAAGCAACCUGCCUCAAACUGGGGGAUAGCCCGGCGAAAGCUGGGGUAAACCCGCAUGGUCCUUUGGUAGCACCUGGUAUCAUUGGUAAACAUUAAUGGGUUUGAGAGGGGCUUGCGUCUGAUUAGGUAGUUGGUGGGGUAACGGCUCACCAAGCCGAUGAUCAGUAGGGGUUCUGAGAGGAUUGGCCCCCACAUGGGUACUGAGAGACGGACCCAACUCCUACGGGAGGCAGCAGUAGGGAAUAUUGGGCAAUGGAGGCAACUCUGACCCAGCCAUGCCGCGUGCAGGAUGACGGCGCUCAGCGUUGUAAACUGCUUUUAUCAGGGAAGAACUGGCGGGAUGCGUCCUGCUUUGACGGUACCUGAGGAAUCAGCACCGGCUAACUCCGUGCCAGCCGCCGCGGUAAUAC